AACGAACGCUGACGGCGUGCUUAACACAUGCAAGUCGCACGAGAAUUUCCGCCUUCGGGUGGAAUAGUAAAGUGGCGCACGGGUGAGUAACGCGUGGAUAAUCUGCCUUCAAGUAGGGAAUAACAUUGCGAAAGCGAUGCUAAUACCGUAUAUGCUCACGAUUUGAUUAGUUGUGGGAAAAGAUGGCCUAGUCUAUGCUAUCGCUUGAAGAUGAGUCCGCGUACCAUUAGCUAGUUGGUAGGGUAAAAGCCUACCAAGGCUACGAUGGUUAGCUGGCCGGAGAGGGCGGCCAGCCACACUGGAACUGAGACACGGUCCAGACUCCUACGGGAGGCAGCAGUGGGGAAUAUUGCGCAACGGGGGAAACCCUGACGCAGCGACGCCGUGUGAGUGAUGAAGGUUUUCGGAUCGUAAAGCUCUGUCGGGUGGAAAGAAUAAAGGCUGUGUGAAUAAUGCAGUCUGAUGACGGUACCACCAAAGGAAGCACCGGCUAACUCCGUGCCAGCAGCCGCCGUAACAC
rnacentral:rRNA from 1 species